AAUAUUGGACAAUGGGCGAAAGCCUGAUCCAGCCAUGCCGCGUGUGUGAAGAAGGNCUNNGGAUUNUNAAGCACUUUAAGUUGNNNNNAAGGGCAGUAAGUUAAUACCUUGCUGUUUUUACGUUACCGACAGAAUAAGCACCGGCUAACUUCGUGCCAGCAGCCGCGGUAAUACGAAGGGUGCAAGCGUUAAUCGGAAUUACUGGGCGUAAAGCGCGCGUAGGUGGUUUGAUAAGUUGGAUGUGAAAGCCCCGGGGUCAACCUGGGAAUUGCAUCCAAAACUGUCUGACUAGAGUAUGGCAGAGGGUGGUGGAAUUUCCUGUGUAGCGGUGAAAUGCGUAGAUAUAGGAAGGAACAUCAGUGGCGAAGGCGACUACCUGGACUGAUACUGACACUGAGGUGCGAAAGCGUGGGGAGCAAACAGG
rnacentral:rRNA from 1 species